GAAUGAACGCUGGCGGCGCGCCUAAUACAUGCAAGUCGAGCGAGAAGACGUAGCAAUACGUUUGUAAAGCGGCGAACGGGUGAGGAAUACAUGGGUAACCUACCCUUGAGUGGGGAAUAACUAGCCGAGAGGUUAGCUAAUACCGCGUACGCUUCCUGGACUUCGGUUCAGGGAGGAAAGCGAUGCCGAGGGUAUCGCGCUCUUGGGAUGGGCUCAUGUCCUAUCAGCNGUUGGUGAGGUAACGGCUCACCAAGGCUUCGACGGGUAGCUGGUCUGAGAGGACGAUCAGCCACACCU
rnacentral:rRNA from 1 species